AUUGAACGCUGGCGGCAUGCCUUACACAUGCAAGUCGAACGGCAGCGGACCUUCGGGUGCCGGCGAGUGGCGAACGGGUGAGUAAUAUAUCGGAACGUACCUUUCAGUGGGGGAUAACGUAGCGAAAGUUACGCUAAUACCGCAUAUUCUGUGAGCAGGAAAGCAGGGGAUCGCAAGACCUUGCGCUGAUUGAGCGGCCGAUAUCAGAUUAGCUAGUUGGUGAGGUAAAGGCUCACCAAGGCGACGAUCUGUAGCGGGUCUGAGAGGAUGAUCCGCCACACUGGAACUGAGACACGGUCCAGACUCCUACGGGAGGCAGCAGUGGGGAAUUUUGGACAAUGGGCGCAAGCCUGAUCCAGCCAUGCCGCGUGAGUGAAGAAGGCCUGGUUGUAAGACUCUUUCGCCGGAGGAAUACGCACAGGUUAAUACCCUGUGUGGAUGACGGUACCGGAAGUAAGAAGACACCGGCUAAC
rnacentral:rRNA from 1 species